GUGACAUUGUGGUGAUGUUGUAUACACAGGAAACUACGACCGCUGUGUGACAGCAGGUGCAUCAAUGGCGUGUGACACAUUCCAGGUUCGGGACUCCGCGAACUUAUAAUCAGUUACCAAACAAGCGGACUGGUCUUCUCGAGAUCUAUAUUUCCGCUCAGCAGCUCUAUCGACUCUUAAGGGUUUUCUUGACCAGAUGCAACACAUCUCGAGCUGUCGUACCUUAAAGGCCUUAUCAAGGCCACAAGCCUGGACAUACAGCCCACGCUCUCCAUCUCUAAGACUUGAUGUAUCGAAGUCGAUGCCCAUGCAGGGAAAAUUGCAUCCAUACUAGAAGUUGCAUAAUGGCACAGACGAUUGGUAUAUAUACCAGCAGGUUGAAGCAGCCUUGCCGAUGAAGCAUUUGACUUU